UGCCCCCGUCGUCUAGGGGCCAAGGACCUCUCUUUUUCACGGAGAAAACGGGGAUUCAAAUUCCCCCGGGGGUAU
rnacentral:tRNA from 1 species